AGUCCUUGGAGAAGACAAUUAUGGAUACUUACUUUGGAUUUAGCUAAUAGGCAAUCAGCUGCGAGGUAGAAGGAGAGGAAGCUGCAGACGCUUCAGACCAAGGCAAUCACCCUCUCAGCACAGUAUGACCAUGGUGGUUCAAAAGUUAGAGAGCUUGAAGGGCAAUUGGAAUUAGAGUCAUAAGACAUAGAGUGAAGAAACCAGCUGAAACAGCUGAAGAGAUCCAGAAGCAUUUUGUUUGUAGGCUGCAGGGCACAUGAGAGUUCAAAGAGAGCUUUCAAGUGUUACUUAGAAGAACUCUGCAAAUAACUUCAGUGAAUGAUAUGUGCAAACGAUCGCAAGAAUACAUUGCAAGCUUGCAACAUUACAGUAGUAAAUUGCACAAUGACUUCUUAACAGUUGAUGAAGAAUUUGUGCAUGGAGGAGCACAAAGUUAAUAUGGUGGAGAACCUGAGCAUGUUAAGGGGAAUUGUUGCUAAUUACAUAAGGAAUUUCUCUUAUUAUGUAUCUAUGAAUCUUACUUCCGUGUUUUCCUGAGCAGGGCAAGCUUGCAACAAUACAAUAGUAAACUGCACAAUGGCUUCUUAAAAGUUGAGAAAGAAUUUAAAUGCGUGGAGAAAGAAAAAGUUAAAAUGGUGGAGAACUUGAGCACGUUAAGGGGUCAACUUUCAGUCUCCAGACAGAUCCCCUAGCCCGGCGACUUGGGGGACUCCUACUACAUGGCUAAGCAAAAGGAGGAAAGGUUUAAGGAGUCUCUCCAACUAGGAGAAAGAGAAGGAUCCGAAUGGGAGUAAGGCACGACAUGGAACAAGCAAGCUCAUGAGAAUUUUAACGUUCAAGGGACUAGGGGGGAGGGUGACUGAUCAUCUGAAAAAACUGAGAUUAAGCUGAGAAAUUUGAAAACCCCUGUUCGAGAUUUUGCUUGAAAUCGUGGUUUGGGAUUAAAUAGCAGGGUCAGAUCCGGUACUUCGAGAAGUACUUUGAUGAUAUCUACGAGUACAGGGAUGGGUCUUCUUCUUCAGCUUAGUGGGCACCGUACCUUUAGCAGAGCGUCUAGGUAAUGCGACUGAGCAUCGGAUGUUCAACUUAACAUCACAAGUAAAUUGCAUUGGUUCUUUCCAUUGAAUUUGUGCUUUGGCGUUGCUCAACUGAAGUCCUUCCCGAGAGACCUGGAGCACCAGAUUGUCCUUACUUUAUGAAGACUCAAAGAUGCAAAUUUGUACGAUGUGCAAGUUCAAUCAUCCGAAGGACAAAGUCAUACUAUUCAUAGAGUGGUUCAAAGAAUUCCAAGAGCUUUAUUCUUGCUCUACUUCGAAUCGAAACCGAAUACUGCCUAUCCAAAUUUUCUCACCCCUUCAUUCCUUCCUCCUCCACCUCUUCAUCCUUGCUCCACCGCGAAUCGAAACCAAAAGUUGCUCAUCCAAAUCAAUUUCGGUUCACUCAAACCCUUAGAACCAUAAAACCCAAAUUUCUCCGGAUCGUUCCAAAAUUCAACGGCAAGCACAAAACCCAGAUCCCUAAACUCACUUGAUAACGUGUCAAAGGCUGGGCAUCCAGUUCUCUCACGUGGCUCCCGUUGGAUCCAGUAUGCUUUUGCUGCUGCCAAUCUACAGGUACCCAUAAACAAGUAUGAGGAAGUGUGUGAAUCAUCACUCAGCAAGGGUGAUU
rnacentral:sRNA from 1 species